UACAGAGGUCUCAAGCGUUGUUCGGAUUCAUUGGGCGUAAAGGGUGCGUAGGUGGCGCCGUAAGUCGGGUGUGAAAUUUCGGAGCUUAACUCCGAAACUGCAUUCGAUACUGCGGUGCUUGAGGACUGGAGAGGAGACUGGAAUUCAUGGUGUAGCAGUGAAAUGCGUAGAGAUCAUGAGGAAGACCAGUGGCGAAGGCGGGUCUCUGGACAUUUCCUGACGCUGAGGCACGAAAGCCAGGGGAGCAAACGGG
rnacentral:rRNA from 1 species